CCUCUGUUUCUCCAUCUGCUUCUGCAACCUUUUGUGCUGCAUCUCCUGCAUGGCCUUGAACUGGAGCCGCAAGGUGUCCCGUGCACCUUCAUCUGCUGCCAUCUUGCCCGAAUGAAGUGGGGCGAGACCUCGCUCGCCACGCGUGCAGGGAGGGUCAGGCCAGGGGCAGGUCAGGGCGCCCGGGCGAGCGCGUGCGCUCCGGCGCGGGUCCGGACCCCCCAGUGGCUGUGGGCUCCCCCAGCUUCUGCCUGGGACUUCCGUCCUUCCCCA